rnacentral:rRNA from 1 species
GACGAACGCUGGCGGCGUGCCUAAUACAUGCAAGUAGAACGCUGAAGAGAGGAGCUUGCUCUUCUUGGAUGAGUUGCGAACGGGUGAGUAACGCGUAGGUAACCUGCCUUGUAGCGGGGGAUAACUAUUGGAAACGAUAGCUAAUACCGCAUAACAAUGGAUGACACAUGUCAUUUAUUUGAAAGGGGCAAUUGCUCCACUACAAGAUGGACCUGCGUUGUAUUAGCUAGUAGGUGAGGUAACGGCUCACCUAGGCGACGAUACAUAGCCGACCUGAGAGGGUGAUCGGCCACACUGGGACUGAGACACGGCCCAGACUCCUACGGGAGGCAGCAGUAGGGAAUCUUCGGCAAAGGGGGCAACCCUGACCGAGCAACGCCGCGUGAGUGAAGAAGGUUUUCGGAUCGUAAAGCUCUGUUGUAAGUCAAGAACGAGUGUGAGAGUGGAAAGUUCACACUGUGACGGUAGCUUACCAGAAAGGGACGGCUAACUACGU